CAAACACAUGCCAAGGGUAAACUGGUCUCUGCAAUCAGGAAUAUUAACAGCAAGAGGAAUCUGCUUGGACAAGUCAAUGAACCCUCAACAUCAGGUGGUGAUAACAGCAGACAACUCUCAAAUCAGACUACUUGUUUCCGGGCCAUUGUUGCAAUAGCUGACACAUCAGAACGUCAGGGAGCCAGGGCAUGGCUGGUGCACGGAAGGACACCUUGGCCCAAAGUAAUUGAGAACUGGAUUUUGACUGCUCCACACCGUUUUCGGACGCAUUUCAUCACUAGUACAUCAGGAUUCGUCAAUGAAUAUAUAAAUUCAUUGCCAAUUCUGAGCCAUAAAUCUGGACACCAAUUGCUUUUGGAAGACUUUAAGCUGCUGUACCCUGGGGCCUCGAGCAGACUGUAUGACGUUUGGGAAAUUUUCGCAGGACGUUAGCUCUUGCUAAGAAAGAGAUCAAGGAUCAAGAAGCUAUUGCCAUUCUCAAAUUGGCCGAAAACAAG